rnacentral:rRNA from 1 species
UACGUAGGGCGCAAGCGUUGUCCGGAAUUAUUGGGCGUAAAGAGCUCGUAGGCGGCCAGUUGCGUCUGCUGUGAAAUCCCGGGGCUCAACCCCGGGCGUGCAGUGGAUACGGGCUGGCUAGAGGCAGGCAGGGGAGAACGGAAUUCCCGGUGUAGCGGUGAAAUGCGCAGAUAUCAGGAGGAACACCAAUGGCGAAGGCAGCUCGCUGGGACGGUACUGACGCUGAGACGCGAAAGCGUGGGGAGCAAACAGG